rnacentral:rRNA from 1 species
AUUGAACGCUGGCGGCAGGCCUAACACAUGCAAGUCGAGCGAGCGGCGGACGGGUGAGUAAUGUCUGGGAAACUGCCUGAUGGAGGGGGAUAACUACUGGAAACGGGAGCUAAUACCGCAUACCAUCGGAUGUGCCCAGAUGGGAUUAGCUAGUAGGUGGGGGAAGGGCCCACCUAGGCGACGAUACCUAGCUGGUCUGGGAGGAUGACCAGCCACACUGGAACUGAGACACGGUCCAGACUCCUACGGGAGGCAGCAGUGGGGAAGCUUCCGCAAUGGACGCAAGCCUGAUGCAGCCAUGCCGCGUGUAUGAAGAAGGCCGUCGGGUUGUAAAGUACUUUCAGCGGGGAGGCGUUACCCGCAGAAGAAGCACCGGCUAACUCCGUGCCAGCAGCCGCGGUAAUAC